AUGUCGGAGGACGCCAGGUUCAGCAUGAGACACAGGGUAAAGUUGGGGUAUUGGGCCACGCUGCUCAGUUUGACCACCAGAACAGCUAUGUUACCAGGGAGGCCCAGCACACAUUACAGCCCCAGGACGAUGUUCGAAAUCAGGCGACCUGAAUCCAGGGAGGUGGGGUCCAUGCUGGAUGUGCUGGAGGAGUUCAGAGUGAUAAUAUGUUUUUGUCCAGCCAGUCAAUCAGAAUCUAUCACUGUGGUGGACUUUCUGAGUGUUGGCAGUGAUGUUCGUCCCACCCUGACAGUCCUGCCCCCCUCCAGUGUGGAGCUGCAGCAGGGGAAGGCCACUCUCAUGUGCCUGGCCAACAAGGGCUUCCCCUCAGACUGGAAGCUGAGCUGGAAGGUGGACGGCAGCAGCAGCAACACCUGGGAGGUGACCGGGAACCCCGGGGUCCUGGAGAAGGACGGCCACUACAGCUGGAGCAGCACCCUGACCCUCCCUGUCGACCAGUGGAAGAAGGUGGGCUCUGUGACCUGUGAGGCCACCCAGGGCUCCCAGUCUCCUCUCUCUGAGACACUGAGGAGAGACCAGUGUUCUGAUUAAUGAGCUCCCCCCUCUGACUCCACUGUUUUUACUCUGCACCUCUCCUUCUUACUGUUCCAGCAAUAGCAGCACACUGAUCUAAUGCUGGGCUGGAUCCUGUGUGGGAAUCCUUCCUCCAGCUGGAGCUUUUAUCAUAGUGGAACAAAGAACAGAACACAUGUCUGAUUCUGAUGUCAAGUAGAUCUGCUUGGCUUUCAUAUCACAAGUGUUCUGAACCUUAUUACUAGAAUGCUGUUGGUUCUGACAUGUUGAGAUAAUAAAGACGUUCAAAAUUUUAAA